GCAGCUGUGGCCGAGUGGUUAAGGCGAUGGACUAGAAAUCCAUUUGGGGGCUCCCCCCUAGGUUCGAAAACCUACCGGCUGCA